rnacentral:rRNA from 1 species
CCUACGGGUGGCAGCAGUGGGGAAUUUUGCGCAAUGCUCGUAAGAGUGACGCAGCGACGCCGCGUGAAUGACGAAGGCCUUCGGGUCGUAAAGUUCUUUCGACAGGGAAGAAAAUUCCUAUAAGUAACUGUGUCUGUAUUGACGGUACCUGUAUAAGCAGCCCCGGCUAACUCCGUGCCAGCAGCCGCGGUAAUACGGAGGGGGCGAGCGUUGUUCGGAGUGACUGGGCGUAAAGAGCACGUAGGCGGUGUUGUAAGUCAUUAGUCAAAGACUAGAGCUCAACUUUAGUAAGGCUAGUGAUACUAUAAUACGAGAGUAUCAGAGAGGAUGGCAGAAUUCCUGGUGUAGCGGUGAAAUGCGUAGAUAUCAGGAGGAAUACCGUUAGCGAAGGCGGCAAUCUGGCUGGAAACUGACGCUGAGGUGCGAAAGCGUGGGUAGCAAACAGGAUUAGAUACCCUAGUAGUC